GACGAACGCUGGCGGCGUGCUUAACACAUGCAAGUCGAACGGAAAGGCCCUGCUUUUGUGGGGUGCUCGAGUGGCGAACGGGUGAGUAACACGUGAGUAACCUGCCCUUGACUUUGGGAUAACUUCAGGAAACUGGGGCUAAUACCGGAUAGGAGCUCCUGCUGCAUGGUGGGGGUUGGAAAGUUUCGGCGGUUGGGGAUGGACUCGCGGCUUAUCAGCUUGUUGGUGGGGUAGUGGCUUACCAAGGCUUUGACGGGUAGCCGGCCUGAGAGGGGGAACGGCCACAUUGGGACUGAGAUACGGCCCAGAAUCCUACGGGAGGCAGCAGUGGGGAAUAUUGCACAAUGGGCGGAAGCCUGAGGCAGCAACGCCGCGUGCGGGAUGACGGCCUUCUGGUUGUAAACCGCUUUCGGCUGUGACGAAGCGUGAGUGACGGUAAUGGGUAAAGAAGCACCGGCUAACUACGUG
rnacentral:rRNA from 1 species